AAGUUACUCCCUCCGUUCGAAAAUAUUUGUCAUCAAAAUGGAUAAAAAGGGGUGCAUCUCGGGCUAAAAUAAGUCUAGCUACAUCCCCUUUUAUUCAUUUUGAUGACAAGUAUUUCCGGACGGAGGGAGUAAAUG
rfam:Triticum aestivum genome assembly, contig: Triticum_aestivum_CS42_TGACv1_scaffold_158677_2DL